rnacentral:rRNA from 1 species
CCUACGGGAGGCAGCAGUGAGGAAUAUUGGUCAAUGGACGCAAGUCUGAACCAGCCAUGCCGCGUGCAGGAAGACGGCUCUAUGAGUUGUAAACUGCUUUUAUACGAGGAUAAACGCCCUUACGCGUAGCUCUUUGAAAGUAUCGUACGAAUAAGGAUCGGCUAAUUCCGUGCCAGCAGCCGCGGUAAUACGGAGGAUUCAAGCGUUAUCCGGAUUUAUUGGGUUUAAAGGGUGCGUAGGCCGUCGGAUAAGUGUGAGGUGAAAUCUCGAGGCUCAACUUCGGAAUUGCCUCGGAAACUGGCGGGCUAGAGAGUAGUGACGGCAGGCGGAAUGUGUGGUGUAGCGGUGAAAUGCUUAGAGAUCACACAGAACCCCGAUUGCGAAGGCAGCUUGC